rnacentral:lncRNA from 1 species
GAGAGAGAGAGAGAGAGAGAAAUAUGUAAGCAAAUAUUGUACUCAGUACCAAAGACAUGGUAAGUAUUCAGUAAAAGUAAUUAUAUUCUUGCAUUUCCAGAUAUGGCAUUUAAUUCAAACAUCCAAGAGUUUUCCCUGAAGGGGCAGAAAAUUCAUUGGUAAAGACACUUGACCCACUCUGCCUGCAAUUCUUCUACAAUGAAUUGACUUCUGGAUUAAUGGCUCUUUUCUCAAAAGUCUAUUCAAUGUUAAUAAAUCCUAACUGGAUUAUCAUUAUGACUCUUCACUUAUAAUGUGUGACACAGAAAAACAAAUCUUGGAGAGACACAAAAGGCAAAUGAGCUGUUUUCAUUGCUUCGUGGCUACAGCCCUACAUAUUUCAUUUCUGAUUCAUGGAAAAAAGUAUUCAGCACACAGCAGUCAGCAAAAUCAUGAAACACCUCAGACCAGGGAGUGAAGUCCCAGUGUCUUAGUCACUUGGGCCUAGAAGGCUGACUUGGAAAGUGCUAAGAGCAGGAAAACUUUGACUUGCUUUGAAAAUCUGCAGCCCCUCUUACCCACUACAGCCUUGUUUAUUUUCACAGCAUAUUUUUGAAGCUUUUUGUAAUGGUUAGGUUCCCCCCCCACACCCUCACCCCUCCCCUUGCAAAGGAAAAGCACAAACAUAGCACAAAAUGACUUAUUUAAAAAGUUUUUAUAGGGCCAGUGCUGUGGUUCAGUGGUAGAGCACUUGCCUAGCAUGUAUGAGGCACUGGGUUGGAUUCUCAGCACCACAUAUAAAUAAAUAAAGGUCCAUUGACAACUAAAAAUAUAUAUGUACUAUAAAAGAAAGUAAUUUAUUGGCUUGAGUGACUAAAAUGUCCAAGAGUAGAGUUUUAGGCGUGACUGGAUCCAGGUGCUCAAAUGAAGAAUUAAGGAAUCAUUCUGGUUCUCCCUCUGUGGGUGACAAAACAGGCCCCUCGAAAUUUUGAAAAACCAGCCUCUACCUCAGAGCAAAGCCUGUCCAAGGAAGGGACAUCACCUUUGUCCUUGGAAAGACCCACAGAGCAUUCCUAGGCACAUUCCCACCCUGCUAAGUGGUUUAUCUACAAAUAACAGGAGAGAUGUGCUGCGCCAGGUGUCCCUGACUCAGUCAGGCUAGGUGGAGAUCCAUAGUAACCCCCUAGCAGCCACCAAUCAGCAUGAGACAGGGAAAUACCUGGGAUGCCAGAUGACCCUCCCAGUAGUUUAUGGUGGUUGAUAACGUGUUGGGAAACCAUGUAGUUCAGCACGUACACCCCUCUUGGCUUAAACCAAUCAGUUCAAAUAAAUCCCCCUCUUGUAGUAAUCAAUCACCCCUACCCAACUUGUUCCCGCCAGUGAAUGUGCUAAUCAUGUUUUAGAGUUGUUAUUUGAUUUUCCCGCAGUGUGUGAUGAUUUGCUAAGAGAUGCUAUGAUGUAUGUAGGGGUCCCUGCCUUCCCCAAAGAGU